rnacentral:rRNA from 1 species
GACGAACGCUGGCGGCGUGCCUAAUACAUGCAAGUCGAGCGGACGAAUCGAAAGCUUGCUUUUGAUUCGUUAGCGGCGGACGGGUGAGUAACACGUGGGCAACCUGCCCUGUAGACGGGGAUAACACCGAGAAAUCGGUGCUAAUACCGGAUAACACGAAAUGUCGCAUGACGUUUCGUUGAAAGACGGCGCAAGCUGUCGCUACAGGAUGGGCCCGCGGCGCAUUAGCUAGUUGGUGAGGUAACGGCUAACCAAGGCGACGAUGCGUAGCCGACCUGAGAGGGUGAUCGGCCACACUGGGACUGAGACACGGCCCAGACUCCUACGGGAGGCAGCAGUAAGGAAUCUUCCGCAAUGGACGUAAGUCUGACGGAGCAACGCCGCGUGAGCGAAGAAGGCCUUCGGGUCGUAAAGCUCUGUUGUUAGGGAAGAACAAGUAACGCAGUAACUGGCGUUACCGUGACGGUACCUAACGAGAAAGCCACGGCUAACUACGUG